CUCAGACUCCGCAUUACUCUUUCAAUUGUAUAUUGCGCAUAGGCUGGGAUAAUCACCAGCAGAGCAAUGGGGCAAAAAUAGUAAAACAAGGACAGAAACCCUUGGGUAAAUAUAUAGUAGAUUUUUAUCAUUUUCUUCGCACUAUCAAACUUGAAUAAAACAACCAAUGCAUUUUUUCCCAACUAUUUACAUCAUUUGGAGAGUUUCAUUGUUCCGUUGUGAUUAGCAAAAACUUGAGACAAUGAAGGAGUCUAUAGUGCAUGAGGAAGAUUGAGAUUCUUUUCGCUGACAAGAGAUUCUUCGCCAUGGCUGAGGUAGCUCAAUGCUGACAUCCUGUAUAGGCAGGUGAAUACUAAAAUGUGCAAUCCAAUAGUGUAGAAGAAUACAAAUGUCCGAGCAUAUUUGUUACCAAGAAGAAAACGGCCACUACUGAGAGUAAUCUUGUCUCUCAAACCUAAUUCCUUGUAUCUUUGAUCUCUUUCCUUCUUCGAAAAC
rnacentral:misc_RNA from 1 species